UGAACAACCCCAACUCUACUUUCAGAAGUCAGAAAGAGGAUCUCAACAACACAGCUGGGGCUUGGACAAAAUUCUCUAGCAGCAGUCUGCAAAUUACAGUGAUUCCUUGAAGAGACAGAAAACAGAACAAAGCAACUUAACCUGGGAGGAGGAGUUCAAAUCUGUUUGGCUUGGACAAGUUUGAGAAGUGAGCCCACAUUAACCUAAUGUCCAAGUGCAAGGAACUGCACCUGGGCUGGGACAAUACCAAAUAUGAGUACAAACUGGACACUUUCCUGUGCAGCCUAUUGUAGGGAACCUGCUUUAACAGUGAGAUUGGACUUAAUAAUCUUCAGAGGUCCCUUCCAACCCCUGG
rnacentral:lncRNA from 1 species